GCAUCCGUAGCUCAGCUGGAUAGAGUACUCGGGUACGAACGGAGGGGAGGGAGGUUCGAAUCCUCCCGGAUGCACCA
rnacentral:tRNA from 1 species